rnacentral:misc_RNA from 1 species
AAAUCUCAUGGGCUUCAAGCUUUGCUGCCCGAGUUGGGCCUCGCCCCCAGCCCUCUGGCUUGGGGGGCGUCGCCUAAAAGACAUCGGCGUCGAUGUCGAGCGGACGAGUCCCUCUAGGGCCCCACGCGCUCCAUUCGAUGCGAUUAAAGGGUCGUCUGACCCUACAC